UGGGCUAUCGCCAAACGGUAAGGCACCGGACUCUGACUCCGGCAUUUCUAGGUUCGAAUCCUAGUAGCCCAGCUA
rnacentral:tRNA from 1 species